AAGGUGAAACCGCGAAAGGCUCAUUAAAUCAGUUAUGGUUCCUUAGAUCGUACCCACAAUUACUUGGAUAACUGUGGUAAUUCUAGAGCUAAUACAUGCAAACAGAGCUCCGACCGGAGACGGAAGGAGUGCUUUUAUUAGAUCAAAACCAAUCGGUGGCGGGUUCGCGCUCGUUAUCGUACAACUUGGUGACUCUGAAUAACUUUACGCUGAUCGCACGGUCAUCGCACCGGCGACGCAUCUUUCAAAUGUCUGCCUUAUCAACUGUCGAUGGUAGGUUCUGCGCCUACCAUGGUUGUAACGGGUAACGGGGAAUCAGGGUUCGAUUCCGGAGAGGGAGCCUGAGAAACGGCUACCACAUCCAAGGAAGGCAGCAGGCGCGCAAAUUACCCACUCCCGGCACGGGGAGGUAGUGACGAAAAAUAACGAUACGGGACUCAUCCGAGGCCCCGUA
rnacentral:rRNA from 1 species